UUAUACAUCAUAUAUUUUGCACUUGGAUGACAGUGGAGGGAAAACCUUCCUGGAGUGAUUACCAGCGUUUUAUAUUGGAAACACAUGUUUUAGUGCAUCAAUUUGAUUAGAAAAGUAGCACAUCUGAAAGUAUCCACCUGUGGAUGAGACUGGAAUGUGCAAAUAUCUGAGUGGCUAUUCUAUAUAAAUAGUUGUAUUGGACAAACUCUAUUUUUCUUCAUUGUUUUCCAUAUCAUCCAGCAGUGUGGACAAGCUGAAGGAGUAGUUUGAGAGCAAUGGGAAAGUUGCUCACUAGUCUUUUUAUAAGGCAGUGUUGGAGCAUCAAACAUGGAGGGGCUCAUGUAAUCGAUACCUCUGUAGAGCCCAGACUAUGGCAUAUCGACUGGAUGCCAGAGACAUGCAUUAUCACAGCAUGUUUUCGGAGUUUCCUGUGCAAGUUUAGAAGGUAUCGUUUAUAUGCUCGCAAAACGCUACUUGUAAAACUUAACAGUCGACCCAAUGGUAACAAGGUGCAGUGUCCUUAUCCCCACCACCUCCACCUCCACCUCCACCUCCACCCCUCUCCUCUGUGUCUGCUGGCCACUUCAACAUCCAGAUCUGGGAGCAGGACACAUGGAAAGCAUCAGGGUUGUGGUGGAAACUGGAUGUCACUUUGUCUGUUGCUGAAGCUGAGUAUAAGUUAUUGUUUAAAUAACUGAUGUUUCUAAUUUCAGUGCCACUGCAGUCUGACUCACUGCACAUUAUUCUGUCUCUCUCCCUCCCUUGCCUGGCAGGACUCCCCUCAUCUGGACAUCAGAGGAACUGCAUGCUUCUAUCAGCACACAAAACCUCUUUGACAUAUAGUACUGUUCUCGGGAUGAGACACGAGUUAAGUCAUCCGAUCGACACCUGACGCCUGCAAAGUGCGACGACCCCCGUCGGAAUGGGAAUCAAUGUUUAUCCUGUUGAAAGCAACCCAAGCCCAACCUGUAAAGAAAUGAUUCCACGGUCAGGUAGCCCCCCUCCUCUACUAAAAAAAGGUUUGUCCACUCCUAUCUGAUCCAGAGGUGGCGAUGUGUAGUUUCUUUGUGCUCCUGCUGGUGAGGUUCUGAGGCUUGGGAGGCAGCAAGCUCAGUUCUUUUAUAGCCACAAGACCCACUCUGAGCUGCAGAACACGCCUAAUGAGGGCGUGCAGUGGUGCCAUGUGAGACAUGCCAGCUUUUACCAGGCUGGGUAAUUGCUUGUGACCUUCACUGAACACGUCUCAUGUGUCUUCAUGUUUUGAGCAAACUUCUAAUUGUUACAUAGUGGGAGAUGCCUGAGGAUAACGCAGAAGCAGACCUAUCCCCUGCUACUGUUUAGUAGAGAUGUGUCUAUUUGGGUCAGUGUUUGUGAAGAUAUUUAUUUGUGGGCCACUUCUCUACCUUUAGCCCGAAUUUCAUAUUAAGGCCACUACAAUGUCUCAAUAAGACAGCCCAUUUGUUUCUGUUUUUUACUGUAUCUAUGACGUAACCACAACAAGUAUGGCUCCGUCAGAAAUGGGUGGUUCCAGUUUGUUUUAAUUUCAUACUGCUGGUCGUCCUUGGGAGUCCACAACAACUUUGUUGUGUGUUGGCUAACCAAUCUGGUUUUCAUUGAAAGUGGAAACUUAUAAGAAAAUACAAAGCACAGUCUUCUCUCUGUUUCAGAUCUGGAAUUUUAAUUUCUGGUAUUGUUCCCACAGGCUGUGAAUUGUUUUAAAAAAAAAUUGAGAUACAAGUCAUACACAUUUUUGAUUUAAUCUGAUGCCUCAUUCAAGAUCAAAUACACAGAUAAAAAAUGAGAUAUACAUUUCAAAUGGUAUUUUCCUUGGGGGAAAAAAGGUUAGUCAUGACACCUCUUCUUUGGAGUCAGUGACAUCUUCCAGGAUGACUCUUUAAACUAAAUGUUAUUCAAAUAAUAUUAUUAUUUUAGUCAGAUCAGGUUUUAGCAUCCAUACCACUGCAGAGUGUCUAUUUGUAUAAGGCAAUGAUAUAAAUAUUCAUCUUCUAAAUUGCAGCAGCUGUUUUUCUAGAAUACUGUAGAUUGACGCACAGUAUAUUCUGUUAGAUUAAACAUAGAGGCUUCUCUUAUCAUGAUGCACCGUAUUAAGAUAAAAGUAUGACCUCUAAAAAUAAGCAGUAACCAUAAACCCAGGAAGAUGACGAUCUGUUCUGGAAAUAGAAAAGAUAACUAACUCCUAAUAAUAGUGAUAAGUACACAGACAUGAUAAGCAUCUGCUAUCAGAAUGGAGUCCAAUGAAAGUUUAAGGUGUUAGCUCUUUAUCAGACAUGGCUUCAAUUCACCAUCUUAAUCUAGAUCAAGUGACCCAAAAGGGAUGGAUCGGAUUUGUAAAUGGUCGUAGAUAUAUUGCUUGGGACAGAUAAAGGAAAAUGUAUAAGGUAAUGUGGUUGUUUAUUUUGUCAGAUUUAUAGAUUCCACUCUGAAUUGUUUCACAUACGUACAAAUAAUUAUAACUUUUCUCUAUGUGGUAUUUUUUCUGGUCUGUAUGUCCAAAGGUAAGCACCAGGGUUACACAGGCAGUAUUUUGUGCCAAGUCAUGAUAAAUUGUGUUAUCAUAUGUUGGCAUAUGCUUUUCUUUACCUUUUCACAUUUCCUGUGCUCAAAUAAACAGAUAUUCCCGAGUGCUGCAGGAUAUUCAUACUGUGUAAAAGGAUGAUGAAGAGCUCCCUCUAUGGUCAUAAACAGAAUAGUCCUGCAUGUUGAAAAAAGUGAAACUUACAUGGGGCCAGAAAGCAAGUCAUCUUUUUGCACUUUCAUGCAUUAGAUACAUUAACAAAUUCUUCUUUGGGGGCAAAGAACCAGCAGGUGUUUCCCCCAGUUUUAGGUGGAACUAUUGUUUGCAAGGAUGCGUCUAUGGGAGGGCAUUACAAAAUGCAUACAAUAGGUUUUGUUCUGUUACAACAGAUAUUGAUUUUUAUAAAAAUAAAAAAAUCAUGGACCAUCUGUUAAGACUCCAUCCUCUCUCUCCAAUCUGUAGAGUGUGACACGCCCACUGACCUCUUCAUGUUUUGCAUUUCAGGUCAAUGAAAACCUCUUGUGGUUCCACCUUGUAUCCAACUUUUAGAGUUCUGAACAACUGUCAUUCUGGUCAAAAUGAUCCCAACAAAUGUAAUGUUGAUGCAUUUUCGAUGCUACUUUCCUAACACAUUUCCUGAAGGUCAAGAAUUUAAAAAAAAUAGUGUUCAUCUCAAGGGAUGGGUGUUGGUUUAAAACGUUUCAGAGGGACACAAAUAGCCAGCAACACCUGCAGUUAUUACAUAAACCUCAUUAAAAAUAAAAACAACCUUUUUUUAAUGGGGUUCACUUUGACCGAGCAACACUACUCAUUUGUUUUGUUACUACAUCAUUAACACUCACGCUCAAAGUCUGUGCAGUGUGUUCAGCCAGAAAGCUGGGCAUUAUUACAUACAGUAAACUUUUUUAUACUCACAUGCUUGGUUGUUGUUUGGAACUUCGCUGGUCUGUUGUCAAUUAAGAAGAGGAACCUUAAUUACUUUUGGAGCACUUCAGACUCCAUCCAAGGCUGCUGCUGAUUCAUGCCUGCCCUACUUGGAAAUGAGCCCAGAGUAAAAAAAAAAACAUGGGGUUGUAUGUGGAAAAUGACAUCAAACUUUUACAUACUUGAUCUGUUCAUGAUUAACUUUUGGCUUGAGUGCAUCUCAUUUCACUCAUUGUGUCUUAUCUGUCUUACUUAGCCUUUGAUUAGUUUCUUUACUCAGAUAAAGCUGUGAGAAGGCUGUAAAAAAAAUAAGCAGUAAUUUCUCAAAUUACCCUCUUGAGCCGUAAAUCCAGUCGUGUGUCCUGAAUUGCAGUGGUGGUGUAAUUCUCUGCUUCUAAGCUUAAGAAUGCCAGAUCCAUAAUGGAAAAGUCUGCAAAGAGACAUUCAAGGCCUUCUAUUGGAGGCAGUGUGAUAUCGUUUUCCGCCAAACCAGAAAUCAAGGCCUGGGAAGAGCCUUUUUUAUGUCAGGGAUAGGGGUAGUGUAUGUUUUCUGACAGUUGCUCCUUUUAAGAUUAAUAGUCUUAUGAAAACCGUGUGUCUUCUUCCAAAAGCCAAGCUAGAUAUCAGUCAAUGUUACCAGCAUAAUGCCAUCCUGACAAUCCCAAAGACAGAUUGAACAUUGUCACAACACAGGGGUGUGUGUGUGAGUGUGUGUGUGUGUGUGUGUGUGUGUGUGUGUGUGUGUGUGUGUGUGUGUGUGUGUGUGUGUGUGUGUGUGUGUGUGUGUGUGUGUGUGUGUGUGUGUGUGUGUGUGUGUGUGUGUGUGUGUGUGUGUGUGUGUGUGUGUGUGUGUGUGUGUGUGGGUUAGGGUUAGGGUUAGUGCGAGAUGGCUGGUAGCCAUACUGGAAUUUAUUCCUUACUUCUGGGAUGAAACACAUGCCAACUAACUAAUGCCUCUUUUUACACAAAGAUUUUUAUAUUUACGAUGCAGCAAAUUAUACUGUGUUAAACAAAGCUAAAAUCUAUGGAUGAACUAUUAAGGCAGAAAACCACACAAUCUACAGGCUACGUCUCCUGGAAUAUGUAGAGGAGCAGGCAUCUAUCCUUGUGCUCUAUCAGUUCACUGACCUCACUGAACCACAGCCAAAUGCUCAUAAAUACAUUCCCUUAUUUCUACGAUGGUGUGGAUGCCAGUCGGGCCGGGAAGUGGGUUUGUUUUGGGUGUUCUCAGUAUAUUCAAGCCAGAGCUGCGCUUUCACUUUUCUCACAAGAGAGCUGUGCUGUCUUCCUGUAUUCCUGCUUGUGGUCGUCUGUCAUGGUGGCGAGCCUGUUGAAAGCUGCACAACUCAGGUCCAGUGUCUGCAUAAUGGAGACUUGUUUGUCCCGACACACGUGGAUUAAUCAAGUGGACGUCUCUCCGGCGUGAAUUGUAGUGCGGCACUGUGCGAGUCCACAUUCAGGAGUGAAAACGUGCAAACUGACUCCAGGCUCUGGGUAAGAGAGCAGUUAAAGCUGCAUCCACCGAUGUCAGAAACGCAACCCACAUGAUUAUUUUUCGGUCACAUCUGGACACAUUGCCUUUCAGCUUUUCCAAAUAUGCAUGUGUGUUUUACAGUUUGCAGACAUUUCAGGAAUCCUCCAUGUCUCUCAUCAGCUUUCCAUAUUUGUAGAGAAUAAGCAUAAAAGCUAAUUAUGUAGCAUUAACAAAUUAACUCUGUUGGGUACAAAUCAGGCUUAGAGUGCGAGAUGGAGAUCUCUUCAACCUGCAGCGGAGGAAUGAGGGACCUCAGCUCACUCAUACUGGUGGUGAAAAGUCUGACAUGUUUGCGCUGAGUAGGGACAGACAGGCCUGCAACCAAGCCUGGACUUGCUGGCCAAGAAAAAGCCCCUCAUAACUCCCCCAUUUUCCUUAGCGUGCCCUUUCCUGAAUGAAUGCACCGCCUUACCCUGCACACUCAGUCACUGGGUUUACAAUAAUGAGCGAGUGUGUUAAAGUAAGUUGCUACUGUUUGUUCAUCAACUUUAACAGUUCGUUGUUUGUUCCUGUCUUUAGUAAGAUGACUGUGAAUGUGAAGUUGGUAUGUGUGAAUAGAAAGCAGCUGGCAGAAAAUGCAUUGUGGGAACAAUUGAGAGAUGAAAGCAGUGGGAGAGAGAGCAGGCGAGGUAAACUGGGGUCAAAUUAAAAGCACAUGACAAUACGGUGCUGUAUGUGUGAUGAUACUGAGAGACUGGACUUAUAAUAAAACAAGCAACAUGAUCAACUGCAAUAUAUGAUGUUGUGUCUAUGUUGUUGUGAGUGGUUUUCUUAAGCACAGCCCAGGAAAUGUAUUCUAUUUACAGUGCUGGAAGAAGUAUAGAAGAAGUAUCUCAAAAUUGUACAUAAGUAAACCAUUAGUUGUUGUCCUAGGGGUUGGGCCCCCUUGAAAUAGUCAGAAGAUAACCCUAACCCUAAUCCAUGAGGUGUUUAAAGGGGUAUGAAAGACUAAAACACACAAAGUUCUGGUACUUAAAUGUGUUUAAGUUUUGCUUUUGCUUCAAGACAUAUUGGAUAUAUUUUGCCUCUUUCGACACAGGACAGCUUUGAAUUAAAACCAUGUGAUUCAUGCUAUCCAUUCAAAUAUCAGAAAUAACAAACAUUUAUGGCUUCAAAUUCUUUGUUCUGUCCCACCUUCAUUCCUCAAAAAGUGUUCCAUUAGUGAUGUAAAAAUGAGAAAAGCUGCACAUCCUGACAUUUUAUGAGAAAAAGUUUUUUUUGCUCGAUAAUUGAUUUCACUGAGUUAUAGUAAGUGUUGUUCUUCCACUACUCUCAUUUAUACAUCCACUUAUUGCUAACACUAAAUACUGAAUCCACAGGGACAGCACAUGCGUCAGUUGUAUUUGGACUGGUAAAAGUUGAUUAUGACUAUUUAAAUGUUAUGUACUAUUUAAUGUGUUAUUUUACAUCAUGUCAAAUCAAAUAUUAAUUUUAAAAAACAUCAUCCUCGAGAACCGACACUGAAAACUGUAAACUGUUUGUGACUGCACUCGUAAAAAUCUGUGGUUAAAGUUACAAGCGGAAUCAAGACUCAUGUCAGAUAUUGUUGCCAUCGGUUUUAUUAAUGAUGGUAUGUGGUGGAGCCCACAUGUCAUGAUGUUAUUUGUUGGAACAGCUUUGGGAAAUGGGAAAUGACAAACCAUGAUUGCUCAAUGUCAGUGUUGAUGGAACCAUAUUUGAACUGUAUACACCCUUAUUACAACUAAUUAUGGGUUGAGUCGAAGGUGUCAGUGAGUUUUGCAAAGAACUCCCAGUGUUAUGUGGUGUCAAGGAGAGACCUUCAUCAGGUGCAAUUAGAGGACAUUCUGAGCCUAAGCUGAAAUGUCUCUGCCACCACCUUGCUACAGAUGUCCUUUCAUUAACUCAUUAAACUGAGGACCAUUUGUCCAAUUUGAUGAA